CUUAUUUUUCCUAAUUUCUUUUCUCUUUUACGUAUUUAAUUUAUGGAGGUUUUCUGGGACCUCACAUUAUUGAUGUUUCCCCAAACUAUAUGAUUUAGCAUCAACACCAACCAAUAAAUCAAACUGAUUUGUUGACAGAACUCUACCAAACAGGCAAAACUUGUUGCAGGCUAGAAUUGUCAACAAUGCCAUUUUUGCCUGGAGAUUCCAGAUUUGGCAAGAUUUAUCCAGUCUCCAGUUUUACUGGUAAUUUCUCCAGGAAUGAGGGAAAGCAAUAAAUAUUAUUUUUUAAUCUUAAAAAACAAUUUGUUUAUUAUUCUGCAAUAUUUAUUACACAAGAUUAAAUAAUUAAGUUGACAAUGCAUCAUUCAUUUCAUGCAUGCAGCAGGUGUUAUUUUAAUAUCAUUCUAGAUAUAGAAUUAGAAAUGUUUAAAUUGAGUGAGUUAGAAUUUGAAAACAAAACUAAAAAUUUUGAGCUUUGUUGGAAGUAAUUAUUUUUACAUCCAACUAUUGGACUUAUUUACAUAUUCAGUAUUUCAGUAGGCAAUCAAGGAAAAAGUUGUGGAUUAGGGUUGGUGAUUUGGAUUUUUUUUAGUUUUUAAAUGAAAACCCUACCUCGUUAUUACUAAGUCGAUUUUAGAAGAGAAAGAAAACCCUACCUUCACAAGCAUAUUUCAGCUUUAUACAUUUAUUAAUAAGUAUUUAUCAUUUUAUCAUUAUCAUAAAAAAAUAAAAACUUGACCAUCAGCUUAACUGAAAUAUCCAUCAGACAUGAAAAUAGUUAUUGUCAUUCUUUUUUUUUAUUAUGUAAGUUAUAGUUAUAUAUCGGUUUUUACUAUACAUUUUAUAUAAUAUUUCCAGUUUCCAUUUUCUACCCCUAAAAUGUCUGACAAGAUUGACAAGAAUGAAAACAAUAUUGGUGAUGAUGAAGUGCUAAAAAAGAAUGAAAACAAUAUUGGUGAUGAUGAAGUGCUAAAAAAGAAUAUCAAAACAUUGCUAUACAAACCUCAAUAACUACUGGCUAAAAAAAUGUGAGAUAUCAGAAUUGGUUACAGAAACAAAAUGAAUUCACAGUUAAGUGCAAAAUUUGUGAUAUUACUUUUAUUGUUAAACAUGAGGUGAAAAAUCUGUUAAACAUCAAGAGGUAUCUAUUCAUGCCUUUGCAUCAUGAAGCAUAUAAACAAACUAUAUUUACACAGAAGGGUAAGUCAGAGGAUAGCAAUGUUUUUUGUUGAAAAGGAAUCUAAAAAUCAAUUAAAAGUUUGCAUAACUGAAUUAACAUCCAUGUAUUAUGCAGUAAUCCAUCAAUAUACUUACAAUAACUUAGAUUGUAAGAUCAAUUGUAUCGUUUUAUCAUCACAAGACUUUUCAAAGAUUCGUCACUUUCCAAACAAAUUCAUUAUGGGAGAACAAAAGCAUUUUCUUUUGAAUGAUAUCAAGCAAAAUGAGACAAAUUUUUGAUAUUUUUCAAUUUUAUCAGAAAAUCCAAUAGGGGCAACAACGAGUUUCUCUUGCUCUAGUUAUCUGUUACUGUAUUCCAGAGCAGUGUGUAAAACAUAAAAUUUUAUAUUUUUAUACUAAUGAUUACAAGUUGUCUGAACUAAAAAUGAAGAAAAUAAUUGUGUGUCUAAAAGAGAAUGAUUUGUCAAUUGAAUAUGUCACAUCUAUUCAGUUGACAAUGUCUUAGUUAAUUAUGAAAACAUUAAUUCUGUUUUCAAAACUUAUGCAAAUUAAAUGCAUAUAUUUUAAAGCAAAUUGCUUUUAUCAUAUUAUUAACAAUGUAGCUAAAUUUCCUUGUAAAAAAUUACCAACAGAAUUUGAUGUAGAAACAUUUGUGAAUAAAAUAUAGUCAGAAUUUUUGAGUAACACAACCAACAUAAGAGAGCUAAAAUCUCAUGAAUUUUUUCAUUUGGAAUUUUCACAAAUGGUCAAAAAUGUUCCAAUGAGGUAGCUCAGAUCAUCAAAGACUGUAAACAAAAUAUUGUUAGCAUGGUCUGCAAUAAAGCAGUAUUUUUUAAUCAGGAAAAAGAAAAAUGUGAUGUUUUUAAUUUGGCAUUUUGUACAAACUCAAAAAAAUGAACUAGCAGAUAUGAAAUCUCCUUUUUUGGAGUUGUAUUUUAUAUUUUAUUUUAUAUUUCCUGAAUUUUGUGUGCGAAUCAAUUUUAAGUCUAGUAAAAUAUGAUCAUCAUAUGACAUCAAUUUAAUGAUACAAUGUCAUUAACUCUAAAAAUUAAAAUUGAAUUUCGACUAAAAAUAACUUUUUUAAAAGCACAGUUCAAAGUAUUUUAAAAUAUUUUAAUCAUCAACAAAAGAAGUUUAUUUUGAAUGCAAGAGAAAAAUAUAUAAUCAUGUUUUAACUAUCAUAUACAAAUAUUAUGAUUUUGAAAAUAAUCCCAUAAAGAGCUUAGCAGCACUAAAUAUAAAAUAAUGCAAUCUUAAGUUCAAAGAUGUACUGAAAACUGUUUCUAUUUUAAAUUUAAAAGUUAAUGAAGAUAUUUUAUAUGACGAAAUAAUUUUAAUUCAAAAUAGUAAUUUAAAAAUACUUAUAAAUGAGAAUAAGAGUUCAAUAUAAAAAAAUUUGGAUGACUAUUUUUAAACCUCUUGAUGUGAAUGAAAUUAAACAAAUAGUUGGUAAAGUACAAAGUACACCUAUUAGCAACAUAUUUAUAGAAUGCAGUUUUUUCAAUAAUGGAGUCAAUCUGAAAUGAUAAAAGUAGAAUGCGAGUGGAGCUUAUUAAAACAAAGUUAGGCAUUCAAGCUAACUUUAAUGUGGACUGUGAAAGUUUAUUAUUAUUUAAGUAAAUCUGAACAGAAAAAAUUAUUGGAUGCAGCAGAAUCAGAAAAAAAUAUAAUUUUAGAAAAUAAGCAUUAUAAUGAUAAAAACCAUAUGUAAUUUUAUUGACUGUUGAAUAAAAUAAUUUGUAUUUUUUGAACUUUUUUUUGCUGAUGCUCCAAGUGAGUUUGGCCAAAUGAUGGUAACCCUAUUGUCAGCAGAAGUUAAUCUUAUCAUAAGGAAAAUAUGCAGAGGAAAUCCUGGUUAGCAUAAUUAUCUUCAAAUUUUAUCUUAAAGUUGUUAAAUUUCUGGUACAGAAACCCCACAUAAUGAAAUAUUUAUCGUAUCUUUGGAAAAGAUAAAAGUUUGAGGGGUAUUUUCAGAUAUAGA
rnacentral:lncRNA from 1 species